UGGCUCAGGAUGAACGCUAGCGGGAUGCUUAACACAUGCAAGUCGAACGACCCUUCGGGGGAGUGGCAAACGGGCGAGUAACGCGUACUUAACCUACCCAGAAGUUGGGAACAACUACGGAGACGUAGCUAAUUCCCAAUGUUCCCUGCACUAUGAAAAAAUGCAGGGCAAAGAUUUAUCGCUUUUGGAGGGGGGUGCGUCCUAUCAGGUAGUUGGUGUGGUAAUAGCUCACCAAGCCUAUGACGGGUAGCCGGUCUGAGAGGAUGUCCGGCCGCAAUGGAACUGAGACACGGUCCAUACUCCUACGGGAGGCAGCAGUGGGGAAUCUUGCGCAAUGGGCGAAAGCCUGACGCAGCAAUCCCGCGUGAAGGAUGAAGCAUUAUGGUGUGUAAACUUCUUUUCUGGUGGAAGACGAAUGACGGUACACCAGGAAUAAGGGACGGCUAACUACGUGCCAGCAGCCGCGGUAAUACGUAGGUCCCAAGUGUUAUCCGGAAUUACUGGGCGUAAAGAGUCUGUAGCCGGGUUUGUAAGUCUGUAUUCAAAUCCUAUGGCUUAACCAUAGAGAGGGAAUGGAUACUGCAAAACUUGAGAUCAUCGGGGGUUGAUGGAAUUUCCGGUGGAGCGGUG
rnacentral:rRNA from 1 species